UGCCACAGCCGUAUCACCCUGCAGCCAAAGUCUGGUUACCCACUGAAGCUAAGCAGGGCUGAGCCUGGUCAGUACCUGGAUGGGAGACCGCAUAGGAAAAGUAGGUUGCUGUUGGAA
rnacentral:rRNA from 2 species